rnacentral:tRNA from 1 species
GAUCCCGUAGCUCAGAUGGUAGAGCAACUGACUUUUAAUCAGUGUGUCGUGAGUUCGAGUCUCACCGGGAUCAC